AUUGAACGCUGGCGGCAUGCUUUACACAUGCAAGUCGAACGGUAACAGGCCGCAAGGUGCUGACGAGUGGCGAACGGGUGAGUAAUGCAUCGGAACGUGCCCAGUCGUGGGGGAUAACGCAGCGAAAGCUGUGCUAAUACCGCAUACGACCUAUGGAUGAAAGCGGGGGAACGUAAGGCCUCGCGCGAUUGGAGCGGCCGAUGUCAGAUUAGGUAGUUGGUGGGGUAAAGGCUCACCAAGCCAACGAUCUGUAGCUGGUCUGAGAGGACGACCAGCCACACUGGGACUGAGACACGGCCCAGACUCCUACGGGAGGCAGCAGUGGGGAAUUUUGGACAAUGGGCGCAAGCCUGAUCCAGCAAUGCCGCGUGCAGGAAGAAGGCCUUCGGGUUGUAAACUGCUUUUGUACGGAACGAAACGGUCUGGGUUAAUACCCUGGGCUAAUGACGGUACCGUAAGAAUAAGCACCGGCUAACUACGUGCCAGCAGCCGCCGUAACAC
rnacentral:rRNA from 1 species